AUUGAACGCUGGCGGAAUGCUUUACACAUGCAAGUCGAACGGCAGCACGGGGGCAACCCUGGUGGCGAGUGGCGAACGGGUGAGUAAUACAUCGGAACGUGCCCAGUCGUGGGGGAUAACGUAGCGAAAGCUACGCUAAUACCGCAUACGAUCUACGGAUGAAAGCGGGGGAUCGCAAGACCUCGCGCGAUUGGAGCGGCCGAUGGCAGAUUAGGUAGUUGGUGGGGUAAAGGCUCACCAAGCCUUCGAUCUGUAGCUGGUCUGAGAGGACGACCAGCCACACUGGGACUGAGACACGGCCCAGACUCCUACGGGAGGCAGCAGUGGGGAAUUUUGGACAAGUGGGCGAAAGCCUGAUCCAGCCAUUCCGCGUGCAGGAUGAAGGCCCUCGGGUUGUAAACUGCUUUUGUACGGAACGAACGGCCUUUUCUAAUACAGAGGGCUAAUGACGGUACCGUGAGAA
rnacentral:rRNA from 1 species